AAAAUUUAUUAAAUUUUUAUGAUAUGUCUACUUCUCGAAUUAGAGAAUCGGAAUUUGGAAUUAGAAUUAUUAACAGCGUUUAUUUAGCAAAAUAGAGGCUAGAAUUAAUAUCGAAAUUGUGGGGCCCAACCCAAUUUAGGAAUGGUGAAUGAGAGACUGAUUCCCAAGUGGGGAUGGGAAUUAGUCUCUUAUUCCUAGGAUUUCUCAUUUCCCCCCAUCAAAAUCUCAAAAUUUCAUAGAAUACCCUCAUUAAAUUUAAAAAAAAAGAAAAAAAAAUCAAACUACCACUGACGAAAUCAAUGUCAUCAUUCGCCGUUGGUUGUCGAGCAGCACUAAUAGCGCCGUCGAGCAGCAGUAGUAGCAACAUCGACGAGCAUCAACAACAACAGCAUUGUCGAGCAGCUAUAACAGCAAUGAGAUCCAGUAGUAACAGCUGUUGCUGAUGAUGAUGUUGACGACGAUGAUGAUGCCGACAAUGUCGUUGUUGUUGAUAUGAUGCCGUCGCUGAAAAUUUUGAUGAUGAUUAUUAUUAUUAUUAUUAUUGAUAAAGUUUUUUUUUAUAAUUAGUUAAUAUAUUUUUAACAAUAAUUAUUAAUAACAAUAAUUUUUGAAUAAAUAAUCACAAUUAUUAAAAUACAAAAAUAAUAGUUAUGACAAUAAUUAAUUAAGAACUUUUUAGUAAUUUGUAACAAUCUAACUCAUUCUUAUUCUAAUUUCAAGACAAAGUAAACCCAUUAAUGAUAUUUCAGCUCAUUCUAAUUAUAAUUUCUACAGUUCAAGUAAACAACUUAUUGUGAUUCCUAUUCCGCUUUUGAUUUCUGUGUAUUUCGAUUCUAACAAAUUCUAAUUUCUGUUUAGUAAGCGCACCAUUAAUAUUUAGAACAUUAUUUUUAGGUGCAAACAGAAGUAGCCCUAAGAUAAGUAAAAGGUCUGGGCCUGGGCAUAUAGGUGGAUCAUAUUUUAGCGCAGGUCUUUUUUUUUUUUUUUUUUUUUUUUAAAUAGAUUUUGCUUUAAAAUAUAUGUUUAAUAAAUAAAAAAAGCAUCAAUAUAUCUACAUGCAAUCCCGAUCCUUGAUGAGUACGUAAAUUUAAUCGUAAGUCACACAAUCAAUUGUAACUCUGUCAUCUCACCGCUGCAAAGAUUCGGUAUAGAACUGUUACUGCGUAUUCGGCGAAUAUUAAGCUUUACUAGUUUGUCUUUAGUACGGCAAAGCUUACGUUACAUAUAAUGUAACAAACAACUAAUGAAUAUAGGCCAUUGAUUUUGAUAUUCCUUAAAUCUAAUGGAUAAAAAUAAUUUUAACAUAAAAUAAAGUUCAGGUGAAAUAGAUAUUUAUAGAAAAUUUUAUUUCUAAUCAUAUAUUUACUUAUUUUUUCAAAUAAGUCCUCAUUGAUUUUUUAUAAUUAAAUAAUUUUUUCAUCCAUCUUUUCUACAUUUAUUUUUAAAACUUUAUAAAGUUUUUACAACAUUUUUAUAAAGAUUUAAAUGAUUAUUAUAUUCAUAAAUAUCCACAAAUUUUGAAUAUAUUUUUGCACUUACAUUUAUAAUUUCUUGUCUCUUUUGAGACAUAAACUAAAUUUUUCUUCUAACACACACACACACAUUCAGUCUAUUUUCCUUCUUAAAUACAUAUCAUCAAUGCCAUCACACAUAUUUUGUAAUAUAAAUUUAGUAUCAUGAAUUAUAAGAGAUAUUAUAUGUAAUAAACAUCUUAUAAAUCUAAUGAAUUAUUAAAAAGAUGGUACAAUUAAUAAAUUACCAAAGCCUCUAAUAAAAAGAUUCCAAUUCUUUGAUCUUAUCAAUGAUUCAAACAUGUGGAGAAAUAAUCAAUUAAAUUGAAUGUCACUAUAUUUAUUAAAUAAAUUAGAAAAUCUAAACUUAUCUAUAAAUGAUAUAGAAAUGGUAAACAAAAUAUUAGAAAUUAAUAAUUUCAAUGAAGGAUUAUAAAAUAAAUUAAAAAGUUAAGAGAUCAAGUGAUCAACUAAGUAAAGAAUUUAAUAAAAUUAAACAAUUCAUAAAAGACUUCAACAUUAAAAAUCAUGAUAUAUUAAACCAAGGGAUUAUUAAUAUAAUAAAUAAAAACUCAAUAGAUAUAAAAUUAAACAAGUUAAAGAUUCAAUUAAAUAAAAUAGAAAAAAUUGUUGAGCAGUUUGAUACUAACUUUGCUAUAAAUAUAAAUGAAGAACUUCAAAAAAAUUGAAAUAUUGUAGCUUGGGUGUAAACAACCUGGAGUAUAAACAAUCUGGGGUAUAAUGUAAAAUAUUAAAACUUAUUGACAUUUUUAAUAAUUAUUAUCUUUUUUAAGGGUUUAAAAAUUUAUAGCUGUAACAUACAGCUAAGGUAACAUAAACUUUACCCUUUAGUACCAAUCGAUCGACCACCUAUAAAAUAGCAAACAAGUUAUAUCAGUACACUUCUUAAGUAACCUCUUAAAAAUUUCUAUCUUAAAUAAUGUGACUUUAAUUUAUUUUAUUGAUAAAAUAGUUAAUUAAAUAAUUAACUUAACAAACUAUAGAACUUUAUCAUCCAACUGAUGAGCCGUAAGCAUCAAACUCUCGUGAAUAUAUAGUUUUUCAUAAAGUUUUUAAGCCACUAGGCCAUGCCUGAUAGCAACAUUGUACAUAUAACAAUUAAUGAGACGUGGUAUAUUUUUUAAUUAAAAAAAUUCUUCGAGGAAGAUAUAUAUGCGUGUGUGUAUAUGUAUAGAGAAACAGAGUCCAUUUUCUACAUAAGAUCCCUUACUUUAAUGGGGUAAGGAGUAAGUUAAAAAGAAGAAAAAUAUAAAUUUUAAUACAACAUAAGAUAAAAUACAUAAUAUUGGAAUGUGUGUUAUAAUGUUUAUCUUAUUUUUUGUGGAAAAUUUGCAUUUGAGAAUUUUCAUGUAUACAAAGCAAGUUUAUAAUGAAUGAUCCCCCAUUUUAGUUGAAGUGCAAAAUUCCAAAAUGACCAAUAAAAUUAAUCCUGCACAAGGUACCCACUUUAAUUUAAGAGUGUGUGUGUGUGAUCUCUUAGUAGAAACAUAUACAUAUAUAUGUGUGUGUUUGUGUACGCAAGCUCACAGUGUGUGUGUAAAAGAGUACUUACUUGAGAAAUAUAGACAAUUUGUGUGGAAUGAUAAUUACAGGAGAGAGAUGAUUCCGGUGUGACAAAAGCCAGGGGAGAGAGGUGAAAGGAAUUCAUAUUGUUUUAACUUGGAGAAGAUGAUAGUUGUAGAAGUGAAGAAAAGGAGAUAAUGCCCGCCAUUUUAUAGCCUUAUUCCAAACUGUGGAAUCAUUGUCGCCUUGUAAUUUUUCCUAAGUAGUGCGUUUAUUUUCUAGAUUGGAGAAUUAAAAUAAAAAAUGGGAAUGAUCAAUGAUUUUUACUUGUUAAAAUAAAAGUGGGAAGAAAUGGGAAUAAAAAUGAAAGAUGUGGGGUUCAC
rnacentral:lncRNA from 1 species